GCUGAAGAACGCAGCGAAAUGCGAUAAGUAGUGUGAAUUGCAGAAUUCAGUGAGUCAUCGAAUCUUUGAACGCACAUUGCGCCCUUUGGUAUUCCGAAGGGCAUGCCUGUUCGAGCGUCAUUAUCACCCCUCAAGCCCCUUGGCUUGGUGUUGGACGGCUGGCGAUGACCUCCGGGUCGUCGCCCCUCCCAAAGACAAUGACGGCGGCCUCGUUGGACCCCCGGUACACUGAGUUCUUCACGGGACACGUACUGGAUCAAGGGUGCGCGGAGCACGGUCUUAACCAUUUCACCCCUCGCGGGCGGAAUAAUUUUUCUAGGUUGACCUCGGAUCAGGUAGGGAUACCCGCUGAACUUAAGCAUAUCAAUAAGCGGAGGA
rnacentral:misc_RNA from 1 species